rnacentral:rRNA from 1 species
UACGGGGGGAGCAAGCGUUUGUUCGGAUUACUGGGCGUAAGCGCACGUAGGCGGAUACUUAAGUCAGGGGUGAAAUCCCGGGGCUCAACCCCGGAACUGCCUUUGAUACUGGGUAUCUCGAGUCCGGAAGAGGUGAGUGGAAUUCCGAGUGUAGAGGUGAAAUUCGUAGAUAUUCGGAGGAACACCAGUGGCGAAGGCGGCUCACUGGUCCGGUACUGACGCUGAGGUGCGAAAGCGUGGGGAGCAACAGGG